rnacentral:rRNA from 1 species
AUUGAACGCUAGCGGGAUGCCUUACACAUGCAAGUCGAACGAGUGGCGAACGGGUGAGUAAUGUAUCGGAAGUGCCCAGUAGCGGGGGAUAACUAUUGGAACCGAUAGCUAAUACCGCAUACUGUGAGAUGGACCUGCGUUGUAUUAGGUAGUUGUGGAGGUAAAGGCUCACCAAGGCGACGAUACAUAGCCGGCCUGAGAGGGGGAACGGCCACACUGGGAAUGAGGAAAGGCCCAGACUCCUACGGGAGGCAGCAGUAGGGAAUCUUCGGCAAUGGACGGAAGUCUGACCGAGCAACGCCGCGUGAGUGAAGAAGGUUUUCGGAUCGUAAAGCUCUGUUGUUAGAGAAGCGGUAACUAACCAGAAAGGGACGGCUAACUACGUGCCAGCCGCCGCGGUAAUAC